rnacentral:ribozyme from 1 species
UGCCCAGCAAAUCCUAUCCCUACCUCCUCGCGGUACUGGCCGGGGUACGAGUAACCUUAGGGAAGAUCGGGUAACCAACCCCCGGUGGGAACUUUGGUCGUAUGCUGACAGGGAAGG